ACUCUGAGCAUCGGCCCAAUGGAAGGCAAAGAAGGCUGCAGAGGUCUUGUAGCCCCGAAGCUCCUUGGAGACUGCCCUUCAGCUCUGCAGAUCUGGUGGCAUCCUCACACCCACAGAACAACAGGGAAUUAAGAUCACAGAGAAUGAGAAUGGGUGGAGAAACCAGUUCCCACUAGAAUGCAAUCAACCAAAACCCUGCACAUCCAAGCUUGGUCUGUGGAAAGCAACGACUCAACUAACAAUUCUGGUGACCAAAUUCUGCUCCGUGGCGGAGUGGCAGAGAGAAAGGGAGAGACAAAGAGAGAUCCUCCAUCCUCUGGCCCACUCCUGAAAUGCCUGCAACAGUCGGGGCCAGGCCACAGCAGGGUGAAGCCUGGAGCCAGGAACUCAAUCCAGGUCCCCAUGUCUCAAGCUCUUAGGAUAUCAUCUGCUGCCUCCCAGGAUGCCACAGCAGGAAGCUGGAUCAGAAGAGAAGGCGCUGGGACUCAAACCAGGCAGUCUCACAUGGGAUGCAGGUGCCCCAAGCAGUGGCCUAGCCCACGGCAGCACUGCUGGAGCAUUUGAUCCCCUCACAUUUCAUGCAGUUAUAGAUUUGGUUG